UUUUUUUUUUUUUUUUUUUUUUGAGGUAGAGUCUUGCUCUGUCGCCAGGCUUGAGUGCAAGGGCACGAUCUUGGCUCACUGUAACCCCUGACUCCCUGGUUCGGGUGAUUCUCCUGCCUCAGCCUCCCGAGUAGCUGGGAUUACAGGCGCCCGCCACAAUGCCCAGCUAAUUUUUGUAUAUUUAGUAGAGACGGGGUUUCACCGUGUUAGCCAGAGUGGUCUCGAUCUCCUGAUCUCGUGAUCCGCCCGCCUUGGCCUCUCAAAGUGCUGGGAUUACAGGCUUGAGCUGCCGCACACAGCUGGGAGUUUUAAAUAUUUUUUAGAGUGCUUCCAAAAUGCGAGAUGCAAGAAAAUGGUUUAUUUAAAUAGAAUAAGACAACUUUAAGUCCAAUUGUAGUCCAAACCAUAGAAACUCAGAAUUCAGGACUUUUGGAAAUUAGGGCAGGUAUUCAGUUAACAAGGGCUAUUUUAAGACGUGACAUUUAGUUCACGUAGGUUGUAGAUUUUGUUUGACAAAGAUCUUAAAAUUACUUCUGGCCUUUGAAGUUAUGACAUACUGUCUUUGACACCUUCUCCUUCCUUCUUCCCCCUCACUCACCAAAAAAAGAUGAGUUUUCUUUUCUUUUUUUUUUUUUUUGAGACUGAGUUUUGCUCUUGUUGCCCAGGCUGGAGUGCAGUGGCUUGAUCUCGGCUCACUGCAACCUUCGCCUCCUGGGUUCAAGAAAUUCUCCUCCCUCAGCCUCCCAAGUAGCUGGGAUUACAGACAUGUGCCACCAUGCUAGGCUAAUUUUGUAUUUUUAGUAGAGACAGGGUUUCUUCAGUUCUCCAUGUUGGUCAGGCUGGUCUCAAACUCCCGACCUCAGGUGAUCUGCUUGCCUUGGUCUCCCAAAUGCUGGGAUUACAGGCAUGAGCCCCCGUACCCGGCCAAACAUAACAGAUUUGUGGGUUAGUUGCCUCUUUGCUCAUAAGGCCCUGUUGAGACUCAUCUUGAGACUGAAAUACUUCAUUAAGUCUCCAGAUUUUUAUUAAUGGCUUUAAAGGUAUAGUUGGGCAUCCUGCUCUCUUGCCCCACUAUAAUCGGACAAUUCUCCACACAAAAGCCAGAGGAAUAUUUUUUCCCAACUAAAUCAGAUGAUGUCAUUCCUUUGCCUACAACCUGCCAGUAGCUUCUCUUUAAACUUAAAAUCCAUGUUUCCUUCAUGGUCUCCAAGGCCCUGUACAGACCGGCCCCAGCCUUCCUCUCUGGCCUGAUUUCCUGCCUCUCUUCCUGCACUCUUUGCCUGGUUGCCUCCCUUCUGUUCACUGAGUGUGUUGAGCUUAUACUGGCCUCAAGGCCCUUCCCUAGCUGAUCCCUGGGACUGCAGCACGCUCCCUGCAGAGCCUCACUCGUAAGGUCCCAGUUUUUUUGGUUUUUUUUUUGAGAUGGAGUCUCACUCUGUCUCCCAGUGGUGCAAUCUCGGCUCACUAUAACCUCCGCCUCCUGGGUUCAAGCGAUUCUCCUGCCUCAGCCUCCUAAGUAGCUGGGACUAUAGACACCUGCCACCAUGCCUGGCCAAUUUUUGUAUUUUCAGUAGAGAUGGGGUUUCACCAUAUUGGCCAGGCUGGUCUCGAACUCCUGACCUCAAGUGAUCCACCCACCUAGGCCUCCCAAAGUGCUGAGAUUACAGACAUGAGUCACCACACUCGGCCUGUCUCAGCUUGUGAGUCUCCUCCUCGGAUGCUUCCUGACUGUCCUACCUCCUGCUGCCCACCCCGUCUCCAUCCCUAGCCCAUUACUGUUUUUUUCAUGGUAUAUCAAGAUAUGUGAAAUGCUCUCACCUGUUUGUUUCUCCCCCCCACUAUACAUAGAGACAACUGGAGAGAGGAUCUGUUUACAGCUGUUUGCACAGCACCUGACAUAGUGCGUGGCAGCAAGUGGCAUUUGAUAAAUCAUUGGCAGUGAGUGGAUGAAUUGCCUAACCUGGAGCUGCCAUUAGGAAGUAACCUGUUUUCCCUUUGCAGUGUUGAUGGGAACCAUUUUCAGCAUCCUGCUGGUGACUGUCAUCCUUAUGGCAUUUUGUGUCUACAAGCCCAUUCGGCGUCGGUGACAGCCAGACAAGUUCUUCAAUGAGUAUUUGGGAAUAGGAUAAGUUGUGUUGCACACGGGUCAGUGGAGAAGUUGGAAUCAAAACUUUCCUACUUGGAAAUGACCUUUGGUCUGGACAGUUGGUAAACGCUAAAUGAAUUAGAAGAAAACAUCUACUAGAAAUUAUUUUUUCCUAACACUGUAGUGCAAAUAAUUGGCCCCGAAUCUGCUUCUCAGUGUUUCUGACUGUACUUGUUAAAAGUAAGACCUGAAAGCUCCAAAGGUCAGUGUAAAGAUGGAGUGUUCAUGAGAAAGAAAACAUUCACCUUGUGAGUGCCUGUAAGAACCACACUGGAAAGAACUCAUCAUUAAUGCUUGAAAAUGUUAACAGAGGGAGACUUACCAUGUAGACAUUCCCUAUUUAAGAACCAUUUGGUUACAGUGGGUUAAGAAUCACAGAAUUUUUUUUUUUUUUUUUUUAAUCUCACUUGAGUUGGCCUAGAAUGCGCUGGUUGCAAAGUGGUGUCAGCUGUGGGGAACUUGGGCCCUCAUUCCUUACCUGCAUCCGGCCCUGCACUCAGGUGCUCCCCCUGAAAUCAGGGUCACAUCAGGUAGUACCUGUUACUACAUGCACCUUUGGCCUGGAAGGCUCUGGGGUUGGACUGGAAAUGUUACUAGGUUGGCCUCUCACAAAAAAGGACCCCAUCCUGCUUAAACACAUUGAUCUCCGUUGCCCUGCAUUUGAGUCUGUAUAGCCCACGGUCUGAAACUUGAGGUAGCUUUCCAGAUUUGGAAUGUAAAAGGCUCAGCAGGCGCUCUGUUCAUCCCUGGGUGGGGAGGGCCCAGCCAGAAGUGCAUGUCCACUGUGCCCGCCAGUGUGUGUUUACACAAAUUUCAUCUCCGCUUUGAAAAUGCUGCUAUUAGUUUGCACUGUUGGUGAACUGGAUUUUUUCCUCCUAUUGAAAUAAUACUUUCAUACUUAUAAAGCGGUCGUCAAUAUUUAUUUCAAGGUGCUAGAUUUAAUUUUGUUAUUAAAUUGAAAUGCUUAUCUUGUGUUCAAGCACAGCACUGAUUUUAACAACCUGCAUUUAAUGUGAAAUAACUGAAGCAGGAUACUAUAACUGUUUAACUUAGGGAUUUUGUUUGUAAUCUUGUAACAUUGAGCCAUUGAAAUGUUCACUGUUCUGUGCUUUUGAGCAAAAUGUCAAUUAAAAUUAAAGUAAAAUCC
rnacentral:lncRNA from 1 species